GGGCGAUUAGUUAAGUGGUAUAACAGUGGCCUCCAAAUCCACUAUCGGGGGUUCGAUUCCCUCAUCGCCCG
rnacentral:tRNA from 1 species